ACACUGGCUCACAGAGGAGAGUUGGUGAGGGAUGACUAUGAGCCUCACUACCUAGCCUCAGACUCCUACCAACCACUUCCCAGUACCUGUAGUACAUUUCCUCAUGCCCCAUAGUGCCUGAGAUGCACCUGCCCGUGGUGCUUAGCCUCCUGGGGGCUGGUUGGGAGACAUGCCGGAGCAGCUGUGGCCAGGGCAAGCCUCUUCUGAUCUCGCGGCGCGUCUGAAGUUGCAGCCAGCGAGCAGUGAGCAGGGAUCGGGCGGCCGGAGUGGAUCCCAGAGAGACCUUCGCGCCGGCAGCGAGAAGCGGCGGUGGCCAAGACUGGAGCAGGUGGCCCGUGGGGGCAGAGCCGGUGGCGAGCAGAUCCCGAGGCGCGGCGCAACGCUGCUCCACCUGCGCACACGGAGCCAUGAGGUACUCCCUGGUCACUUGCUAUGCUGUGCUCUGGCUUCUCAUGCUGGUGCCUGGAUCCUGGGGCCAGGUGAACCGACUACCUUUCUUCACCAAUCACUUCUUUGACACGUACCUGCUCAUCAGUGAAGACACGCCAGUGGGUUCUUCUGUGACCCAGCUGCUCGCCCGAGACAUGGACAAUGACCCUUUGGUGUUUGGCGUGUCUGGGGAGGAGGCCUCCCGAUUCUUUGCCGUGGAGCCUGACACGGGUGUGGUGUGGCUCCGGCAGCCACUGGACAGAGAGACUAAGUCUGAGUUCACAGUGGAGUUCUCUGUCAGUGACCACCAAGGGGUGAUCACACGGAAGGUGAAUAUCCAAGUUGGAGAUGUGAAUGACAAUGCACCCACAUUCCACAACCAGCCCUACAGCGUGCGCAUCCCUGAGAACACACCAGUGGGGACACCCAUCUUCAUCGUCAACGCCACCGAUCCUGACCUGGGCGCGGGGGGCAGCGUCCUCUACUCCUUCCAGCCCCCCUCUCCGUUCUUCGCCAUCGACAGUGCCCGAGGCAUAGUCACCGUGAUUCAGGAGCUAGACUAUGAGGUCACGCAGGCGUACCAGCUCACAGUCAAUGCCACGGAUCAAGACAAGACCAGACCUCUGUCUACAUUGGCCAACCUGGCCAUCAUCAUCACGGACAUGCAAGACAUGGAUCCUAUCUUCAUCAACCUGCCCUACAGUACUAACAUCUACGAGCACUCUCCUCCAGGCACAACUGUGCGGGUGAUCACUGCUGUGGACCAGGAUAAGGGACGGCCCCGUGGGAUUGGCUACACUAUUGUCUCAGGGAAUACCAACAGCAUCUUUGCCCUGGACUACAUCAGCGGAGCUCUCACCCUGAAUGGCCUGCUGGACCGGGAGAACCCCCUGUACAGUCACGGCUUCAUCCUGACAGUGAAGGGCACUGAGCUGAAUGAUGACCGUACUCCGUCAGAUGCCACCGUCACCACGACCUUCAACAUCCUGGUUAUUGACAUCAAUGACAAUGCCCCAGAGUUCAACAGCUCUGAGUACAGCGUGGCCAUUACAGAGCUGGCACAGGUCGGCUUCGCUCUCCCUCUCUUCAUCCAGGUGGUGGACAAGGAUGAGGGUCUGAACAGCAUGUUCGAGGUGUACCUGGUGGGCAACAACUCCCACCACUUCAUCAUCUCCCCAACCUCCGUCCAAGGGAAAGCGGACAUCCGCAUCCGAGUGGCAAUCCCGCUGGACUAUGAGACUGUGGACAGAUACGACUUUGACCUCUUUGCCAACGAGAGUGUACCCGACCACGUGGGCUAUGCCAAGGUGAAGAUUACGCUCAUCAAUGAAAAUGACAACCGGCCCAUCUUCAGCCAGCCCCUCUACAAUGUCAGCCUGUAUGAGAACAUCACGGUGGGGACCUCCGUGCUGACAGUCCUGGCAACAGACAAUGACGUGGGCACUUUUGGGGAAGUCAACUACUUCUUCAGUGAUGACCCUGACAGGUUCUCACUGGACAAGGACACGGGUCUCAUCAUGCUGAUAGCCCGGCUAGACUAUGAACUUAUCCAGCGUUUCACCUUGACUGUCAUUGCCCGGGAUGGCGGUGGUGAGGAGACCACAGGCAGGGUCCGGAUCAAUGUGCUGGAUGUCAAUGACAAUGUGCCCACCUUCCAGAAGGAUGCCUAUGUGGGUGCUCUGAGGGAGAAUGAGCCAUCUGUCACGCAGCUGGUGCGGCUCAGGGCAACAGAUGAAGACUCCCCUCCCAACAACCUGAUCACCUACAGCAUCGUCAAUGCAUCCGCCUUCGGCAGCUACUUCGACAUCAGCAUAUAUGAAGGCUAUGGAGUGAUCAGUGUGAGCCGCCCUCUGGAUUACGAGCAGAUACCCAAUGGGCUGAUCUACCUAACAGUCAUGGCCAAGGAUGCUGGCAACCCUCCGCUCUACAGCACCGUCCCUGUCACCAUUGAGGUGUUUGAUGAGAACGACAACCCUCCCACCUUCAGCAAGCCGGCCUACUUCGUGUCUGUGCUGGAGAACAUCAUGGCAGGAGCCACAGUGUUGUUUCUAAACGCCACGGACCUGGACCGCUCUCGGGAGUAUGGGCAGGAGUCUAUCAUCUACUCGCUGGAGGGCUCCUCGCAGUUUCGCAUCAAUGCUCGCUCUGGAGAAAUCACCACCACGUCUCUGCUGGACCGAGAGACCAAGUCUGAAUACAUACUCAUCGUGCGUGCUGUGGAUGGCGGUGUGGGCCACAACCAGAAAACUGGCAUUGCCACAGUGAAUGUCACCCUCCUAGACAUCAAUGACAACCACCCUACCUGGAAGGAUGCUCCUUACUACAUCAACCUGGUAGAGAUGACACCUCCAGACUCUGAUGUGACCACGGUGGUAGCUGUGGACCCAGAUCUGGGGGAGAAUGGCACCCUGGUGUACAGCAUCCAUCCCCCCAACAAGUUCUAUAGUCUGAACAGCACCACAGGCAAGAUCCGUACCACCCACGUCAUGCUGGACCGCGAGAACCCUGACCCUGUGGAAGCGGAGCUCAUGCGAAAGAUCAUUGUCUCUGUCACAGACUGCGGCAGACCCCCUCUGAAGGCCACCAGCAGUGCCACGGUCUUUGUGAACCUCUUGGAUCUCAAUGACAAUGACCCCACCUUCCGGAACCUGCCUUUUGUGGCUGAGAUUCUUGAGGGCACCCCUGCAGGGGUCUCUGUCUACCAGGUGGUGGCCAUCGAUCUGGACGAGGGCCUGAAUGGACUGGUGUCCUACCGCAUGCAGGUGGGCAUGCCCCGCAUGGACUUUGUCAUCAACAGCACCAGCGGUGUGGUCACGACGACAGCCGAACUGGACCGGGAGCGCAUCGCCGAGUACCAGCUGCGGGUGGUGGCCAGCGAUGCUGGCACACCUACCAAGAGCUCCACCAGCACCCUCACCGUCCGAGUGUUGGAUGUGAACGAUGAGACUCCCACCUUCUUCCCUGCCGUGUACAACGUGUCCGUGUCUGAGGACGUUCCCCGUGAGUUCCGCGUGGUCUGGCUGAACUGCACAGACAAUGACGUGGGCCUCAAUGCGGAGCUCAGCUACUUCAUCACAGCGGGAAACGUGGAUGGGAAGUUUAGUGUGGGCUACCGUGAUGCCGUGGUGAGAACCGUAGUCGGCCUGGACCGUGAGACCACGGCUGCGUACACACUGGUGCUGGAGGCCAUAGACAAUGGCCCUGUAGGCAAGAGGCGCACGGGUACAGCCACCGUGUUUGUCACAGUUCUGGAUGUGAAUGACAACCGGCCCAUCUUUCUGCAAAGCAGCUAUGAGGCCAGUGUCCCCGAAGACAUCCCAGAAGGCCACAGCAUUGUGCAGCUGAAAGCCACGGAUGCAGACGAGGGCGAGUUUGGGCGCGUCUGGUACCGCAUCCUCCACGGUAACCAUGGCAACAACUUCCGGAUCCACGUAGGCAGCGGGCUCCUGAUGCGAGGGCCAAGGCCCCUGGACAGGGAACGGAACUCGUCCCACGUACUGAUGGUAGAAGCCUACAACCAUGACCUGGGGCCCAUGCGGAGCUCUGUCAGGGUGAUCGUGUAUGUGGAAGAUGUCAACGAUGAGGCCCCUGUAUUCACACAGCAGCAGUACAACCGCCUGGGCCUUCGAGAGACAGCAGGCAUUGGCACCUCAGUCAUCGUUGUCCGAGCCACUGACAAAGACACUGGGGACGGUGGCCUGGUGAACUACCGCAUCCUGUCGGGCGCAGAGGGCAAGUUUGAGAUUGACGAGAGCACGGGGCUCAUCGUGACGGUUGACUACCUGGACUACGAGACCAAGACCAGCUACCUGAUGAAUGUGUCUGCCACAGACGGCGCACCCCCCUUCAACCAGGGCUUCUGCAGCGUCUACGUGACACUUCUCAAUGAGCUGGACGAGGCUGUUCAGUUCUCCAAUGCUUCCUACGAGGCAGUCAUCAUGGAGAAUCUGGCUCUGGGGACAGAGAUCGUGCGGGUGCAAGCCUAUUCUAUCGAUAACCUCAACCAGAUUACCUACCGCUUCGACGCCUAUACCAGUGCCCAGGCCAAAGCCCUCUUCAAGAUAGAUGCUAUCACGGGUGUGAUCACAGUCAAAGGCUUGGUCGACAGAGAGAAGGGCGACUUCUACACAUUGACAGUCGUGGCAGACGAUGGCGGCCCCAAGGUGGACUCUACUGUGAAGGUCUACAUCACCGUUCUGGAUGAGAAUGAUAACAGCCCACGCUUCGACUUCACCUCGGACUCAGCCAUCAGUGUGCCUGAGGACUGUCCUGUGGGCCAGCGAGUAGCCACAGUCAAGGCCCGGGACCCUGAUGCUGGCAGCAAUGGACAGGUGGUCUUCUCCCUGGCCUCUGGUAACAUUGCUGGGGCCUUUGAGAUUAUCACCAGCAAUGACUCCAUUGGUGAAGUGUUUGUGGCUAAGCCCCUGGACAGGGAAGAACUGGACCACUACAUCCUCAAGGUCGUGGCUUCUGACCGUGGCACUCCUCCACGGAAGAAAGACCACAUCUUACAGGUGACCAUUCUGGAUGUCAAUGACAACCCUCCAGUUAUUGAAAGCCCCUUUGGAUACAACGUCAGUGUGAAUGAGAAUGUGGGUGGAGGCACCUCAGUGGUCCAAGUGAGAGCCACCGACCGUGACAUCGGGAUCAACAGUGUCCUGUCCUAUUACAUCACCGAGGGCAACGAGGACAUGACUUUCCGUAUGGACCGUAUCAGCGGUGAGAUUGCUACACGGCCUGCUCCACCCGACCGUGAGCGCCAGAACUUCUACCAUCUGGUGGUCACCGUGGAAGAUGAGGGCACCCCCACACUGUCGGCCACCACCCACGUGUACGUGACUAUCGUGGACGAGAAUGACAACGCUCCUGUGUUCCAGCAGCCACAUUAUGAGGUGGUGCUGGAUGAGGGCCCAGACACAAUCAACACCAGCCUCAUCACCGUCCAGGCACUGGACCUGGAUGAGGGGCCGAAUGGCACUGUCACCUAUGCCAUCGUGGCAGGCAACAUCAUCAAUACCUUCCGAAUCAACAAGCACACGGGUGUCAUUACUGCUGCCAAGGAACUAGACUAUGAGAUCAGUCAUGGCCGCUACACCCUGAUUGUCACUGCCACGGACCAGUGUCCCAUCUUGUCCCACCGCCUCACCUCUACUACCACCGUGCUCGUGAAUGUGAAUGACAUCAAUGACAAUGUGCCCACUUUCCCUCGGGACUACGAAGGACCAUUCGACGUCACUGAAGGCCAGCCAGGGCCCAGAGUGUGGACAUUCCUGGCCCAUGACCGGGACUCUGGCCCCAAUGGGCAGGUGGAGUACAGUGUUGUGGAUGGAGACCCACUAGGGGAGUUUGUGAUCUCUCCUGUGGAGGGUGUGCUGAGGGUCCGGAAGGAUGUCGAACUGGAUAGGGAGACCAUCGCCUUCUACAACCUGACCAUCUGUGCCCGAGACAGGGGAGUGCCGCCACUCAGCUCCACGAUGCUGGUGGGAAUCCGAGUGCUGGACAUCAAUGACAAUGACCCAGUGCUACUGAAUCUUCCCAUGAACGUCACCAUCAGUGAGAACAGCCCUGUCUCCAGCUUUGUCGCCCACGUCCUGGCCAGCGAUGCUGACAGUGGCUGCAAUGCCCUCCUCACCUUCAACAUCACCGCUGGCAACCGAGAGCGGGCCUUCUUCAUCAAUGCCACGACAGGGAUUGUCACUGUCAACCGGCCCCUGGACCGAGAGCGCAUCCCAGAGUACAGGCUGACUGUUUCUGUGAAGGAUAACCCGGAGAACCCACGCAUAGCCAGGAAGGACUUUGACUUACUGCUGGUAUCUCUGGCUGAUGAAAACGACAACCACCCCCUCUUCACUGAGGGCACGUACCAGGCCGAGGUGAUGGAGAACUCUCCUGCUGGGACACCCCUCACAGUGCUCAAUGGGCCUAUCCUGGCCCUGGACGCUGAUGAAGAUGUGUACGCCGUAGUCACGUAUCAGCUCCUGGGCACCCACAGUGACCUCUUUGUUAUCGACAACAGCACAGGCGUGGUGACUGUGAGGUCCGGGAUCAUCAUUGACCGGGAGGCCUUCUCACCCCCGUUCCUGGAGCUGCUGCUGUUGGCUGAAGACAUUGGACAACUCAAUGGCACGGCCCACCUGUUCAUCACUAUCCUAGAUGACAAUGACAACUGGCCCACCUUCAGUCCUCCCACUUAUACCGUCCACCUGCUGGAGAACUGCCCACCAGGAUUCUCAGUCCUUCAAGUCACAGCCACGGAUGAGGACAGCGGCCUCAAUGGGGAGCUGGUAUACCGAAUAGAAGCCGGGGCUCAGGACCGCUUCCUCAUCCACCCAGUCACAGGAGUCAUCCGUGUUGGCAAUGCCACCAUCGACAGAGAAGAGCAGGAGUCCUACAGGCUGACGGUGGUGGCCACCGACCGGGGUACCGUUCCCUUGUCGGGCACAGCCAUCGUCACCAUCCUGAUCGACGACAUCAAUGACUCCCGGCCCGAGUUCCUCAACCCUAUCCAGACAGUGAGCGUGCUGGAAUCCGCAGAGCCAGGCACCAUCAUUGCCAAUGUCACCGCCAUCGAUCUCGACCUCAACCCCAAACUGGAGUAUCACAUCAUCAGCAUCGUGGCCAAGGAUGACACCGACCGCCUGGUGCCUGACCAGGAAGACGCCUUUGCUGUGAAUAUCAAUACAGGGUCUGUGAUGGUGAAGUCCCCUCUGAACCGCGAGCUGGUUGCAACCUAUGAGGUCACGCUCUCAGUAAUCGACAAUGCCAGCGACCUCCCAGAGCAUUCUGUCAGUGUGCCAAACGCCAAGCUCACGGUCAACAUCCUGGAUGUCAAUGACAACACACCGCAGUUCAAGCCCUUUGGGAUCACCUACUACACAGAGCGGGUCCUGGAGGGGGCCACCCCCGGCACGACGCUCAUUGCCGUGGCAGCCGUGGACCCUGACAAGGGCCUCAAUGGGCUGAUCACCUACACCCUGCUGGACCUCACACCCCCAGGCUAUGUCCAGCUCGAAGACUCUUCCGCAGGGAAGGUCAUCGCCAACCGGACUGUAGACUACGAGGAAGUGCACUGGCUUAACUUCACUGUGAGGGCCUCAGACAACGGGUCCCCACCCCGGGCAGCCGAGAUCCCUGUCUACCUGGAAAUUGUAGACAUUAAUGACAACAACCCCAUCUUCGAUCAGCCCUCCUACCAGGAGGCCGUUUUUGAGGAUAUAGCUGUGGGCACGGUCAUCCUGAGGGUUACAGCUACGGAUGCGGACUCGGGCAACUUCGCCCUCAUUGAGUACAGCCUGGUAGAUGGAGAGGGCAAGUUCGCUAUCAACCCCAACACCGGCGACAUCUCUGUCCUGUCCUCUCUGGACCGAGAGAAGAAGGACCACUAUAUCUUAACUGCCUUGGCCAAAGACAACCCUGGGGAUGUGGCCAGUAACCGUCGAGAGAACUCGGUACAGGUGGUGAUCCGAGUGCUUGAUGUCAAUGACUGUCGGCCUCAGUUCUCCAAACCGCAGUUCAGCACGAGUGUGUACGAGAACGAACCAGCAGGCACCUCGGUCAUCACCAUGCUGGCCACCGACCAGGAUGAGGGCUCCAAUAGCCAGCUGACCUACUCUCUCGAGGGCCCUGGAAUGGAGGCUUUCUCUGUGGACAUGGACUCAGGCCUGGUGACCACGCAGCGGCCGCUGCAAUCCUAUGAGAGGUUCAACCUGACUGUGGUGGCUACAGAUGGUGGGGAGCCCCCACUCUGGGGCACCACGAUGCUCCUGGUGGAGGUCAUCGAUGUCAAUGACAACCGACCCGUCUUUGUGCGCCCACCCAAUGGCACCAUCCUGCACAUCAAAGAGGAGAUCCCGCUACGUUCCAAUGUGUAUGAAGUCUAUGCUACAGACAAUGACGAAGGCCUCAAUGGGGCAGUACGCUACAGCUUCCUGAAGACUACAGGCAACCGUGACUGGGAGUACUUCACCAUUGACCCAAUUAGCGGCCUCAUCCAGACAGCGCAGCGCCUGGACCGUGAGAAGCAGGCCGUGUACAGUCUCAUCUUGGUGGCCAGUGACCUGGGCCAGCCGGUGCCAUAUGAGACGAUGCAACCAUUGCAGGUGGCCUUGGAGGACAUCGAUGACAACGAACCCCUCUUUGUGAGGCCUCCUAAGGGAAGCCCUCAGUACCAGCUGUUGACGGUGCCUGAACACUCCCCCCGCGGCACCCUUGUGGGCAAUGUGACAGGUGCCGUGGAUGCAGAUGAGGGUCCCAACGCCAUUGUAUACUACUUCAUUGCAGCUGGUGACGAGGACAAGAAUUUCCACCUGCAGCCCGAUGGACGCCUGCUAGUGCUCAGAGACCUGGAUCGGGAGACGGAAGCCACCUUCUCCUUCAUCGUCAAAGCGUCCAGCAAUCGCAGCUGGACCCCUCCUCGUGGACCCUCCCCAGCCCUCGAUCUGCUGACCGAUCUCACCCUGCAGGAGGUGCGCGUUGUGCUGGAGGACAUCAAUGACCAGCCGCCACGCUUCACCAAGGCUGAGUACACCGCAGGAGUGGCCACCGAUGCCAAGGUAGGCUCGGAGUUGAUCCAGGUGCUGGCCCUGGAUGCGGACAUUGGCAACAACAGCCUGGUCUUCUAUGGCAUUCUGGCUAUCCAUUACUUCCGGGCCCUGGCCAACGACUCUGAGGAUGUGGGCCAGGUCUUCACCAUGGGGAGUGUGGACGGUAUCCUGCGCACCUUUGACCUCUUCAUGGCCUACAGCCCUGGCUAUUUUGUGGUAGACAUCGUGGCCCGAGACCUGGCCGGCCACAAUGAUACCGCCAUCAUCGGCAUCUACAUCCUGAGGGAUGACCAGCGCGUGAAGAUCGUCAUCAAUGAGAUCCCGGACCGCGUGCGUGGCUUCGAGGAGGAGUUCAUUCGCCUGCUGUCCAACAUCACAGGCGCCAUUGUCAACACCGAUGACGUGCAGUUCCACGUGGAUAUGAAAGGGAGGGUGAACUUUGCGCAGACAGAACUGCUUAUCCACGUGGUCAAUCGCGACACAAACCGCAUCCUGGAUGUGGACAGGGUCAUCCAGAUGAUCGAUGAGAACAAGGAGCAGCUUCGGAACCUCUUCAGGAACUACAACGUGCUGGAUGUGCAGCCCGCCAUCUCUGUCCAGCUGCCGGAUGACAUGUCUGCCCUGCAGAUGGCCAUCAUUGUCCUGGCCAUCCUUCUCUUCUUGGCUGCCAUGCUCUUCGUCCUCAUGAACUGGUACUACAGGACCAUACACAAGAGAAAGCUAAAGGCCAUUGUGGCUGGCUCUGCGGGGAACCGUGGCUUCAUUGACAUCAUGGACAUGCCCAAUACCAACAAAUACUCCUUCGAUGGAGCCAACCCUGUGUGGCUGGACCCCUUCUGCCGGAACCUGGAGCUGGCUGCGCAGGCCGAGCACGAAGAUGACCUCCCUGAGAACCUGAGUGAGAUCGCAGACCUGUGGAACAGCCCCACCCGCACCCAUGGAACUUUUGGGCGUGAGCCUGCAGCAGUCAAGCCCGAUGAUGACAGAUACCUGCGUGCAGCCAUCCAGGAAUACGACAACAUCGCCAAGCUGGGCCAGAUCAUUCGAGAGGGGCCUAUUAAGGUGAGCCCUCUCCUGCAGGGUCCAGUGCCCAGACCCUGUUUGAAUUUGACCCCUACUCAAGGAUAUAAGGAGAUGGUUUAUCUGGACCCGCCUUCUAUCAGGAUGGGAGUUUGGGCACUAGGGUUAAUAGGCUCGGCAGCCUGUGGCGUCUUCGGAACUGAACGGGCUCGCUGCUGAAGGUGGUCCUGGAGGAUUACCUACGGCUCAAAAAACUCUUUGCACAACGGAUGGUACAAAAAGCCUCCUCCUGCCAUUCCUCCAUCUCCGAGCUGAUCCACACCGACCUGGAGGAGGAGCCUGGGGACCACAGCCCAGGCCAGGGCAGCCUCCGUUUCCGACACAAGCCACCCAUGGAGCUCAAGGGGCAAGAUGGAAUCCACAUGGUUCAUGGCAGCACGGGCACACUGCUGGCCACUGAUCUCAACAGCUUGCCGGAGGACGACCAGAAGGGGCUGGACCGCUCGCUGGAGACUCUGACGGCCUCUGAGGCCACUGCCUUUGAGCGCAAUGCCCGCACAGAGUCGGCCAAGUCCACCCCUCUGCAUAAGCUCCGGGACGUUAUCAUGGAGAGCCCUCUGGAAAUCACGGAGCUGUGAUGGCAAGCCUGCCCACCACCCUCCGAGGCAGGGGCACGGCCGGCCCUUCGCCCAGUACAGCCUUUGUGGGUGACCCUGGGCUGGCCCUGGCAGCCUGCAUGGCGGCUCAGAUUUGCCUCCUGCCAGGAACUAAUUCAGCAUCUGAUCUCUACCUUCAUAAAAUUGGUUAUUUUUUUAAGAAAACUUUAAAAAUGCUAAGUGUCUAAGGACAAGGUGAGGAGGAUCUCUGGGGGAGCCCCAGAGACUGAGGCCCAGCUCAGCUCUUCCCGACGCCUCUAAGGAGCAGGGAGCCAGCACAGAACUGACAACCCAGCCGGCCCACCCCUGCCUCAGUCCAAGCCCCACUGCACUUCUGCCUGCUGGACGUCAGGGUGGCGCUCCGCCCCUGCACACACACCAGUGGAUGAGGGAACAAAGCAUCCGCCCCAUCGUCCUGAGGUGCCCAGGUGACAGCCGUGACUGAUGUCCCUCCCCCUGGGUGUUGAAUGUAGAGUGUUUGUGUGUAACCCUUUUCUAAAUUAAGUUACUCCCUCAGGAUUUCCUCCAGGUUUUGUUUAACUGAUGCUCAGUGAAAGUCUCUGGAAUGCUCUGUUUAAAAAGAAAAGCAACUCACAUGGAACCAGC